rnacentral:rRNA from 1 species
CGCAUGCAAGUCGAGGGGAAACGAUGGGAGGGCUUGCCCUCCCAGGCGUCGACCGGCGCACGGGUGAGUAACACGUAUCCAACCUGCCCUCUUCCGGGGAACAACCUUGCGAAAGUAAGACUAAUGCCCCAUGUGUCCUCAGACGGCAUCAGACGAGGACGAAAGAUUUAUCGGAAGUGGAUGGGGAUGCGCCUGAUUAGGCAGUUGGCGGGGCAACGGCCCACCAAGCCGACGAUCAGUAGGGGUUCUGAGAGGAAGGUCCCCCACAUUGGAACUGAGACACGGUCCAAACUCCUACGGGAGGCAGCAGUGAGGAAUAUUGGUCAAUGGGCGAGAGCCUGAACCAGCCAAGUAGCGUGCAGGAUGACGGCCCUAUGGGUUGUAAACUGCUUUUGCGCGGGGAUAAAGUGCGCCACGUGUGGCGCAUUGCAGGUACCGCGCGAAUAAGGACCGGCUAAUUCCGUGCCAGCAGCCGCGGUAAUACGGAAGGUCCGGGCGUUAUCCGGAUUCAUUGGGUUUAAAGGGAGCGCAGGCCGCCCCUUAAGCGUGUUGUGAAAUGCCGCGGCUCAACCGUGGCACUGCAGCGCGAACUGGGGGGCUUGAGUGCGCGCAGCGCAGGCGGAACUCGUGGUGUAGCGGUGAAAUGCUUAGAUAUCACGAAGAACUCCGAUCGCGAAGGCAGCCUGCGGGAGCGCAACUGACGCUGAGGCUCGAAAGUGCGGGUAUCGAACAGGAUUAGAUACCCUGGUAGUCCGCACGGUAAACGAUGGAUGCCCGCCCUGCCGCCCUUUGGAGGCGGGGCCAAGCGAAAGCGUUAAGCAUCCCACCUGGGGAGUACGCCGGCAACGGUGAAACUCAAAGGAAUUGACGGGGGCCCGCACAAGCGGAGGAACAUGUGGUUUAAUUCGAUGAUACGCGAGGAACCUUACCCGGGCUUGAAUCGCUGAGGAAGAUCCAGA